rnacentral:rRNA from 1 species
UACUGACAUAGUCGACCGGUCUCACGCAUUGUCGUGAGCACUUGUGUUGUAUUAGGUCAUUCUUGGAUUUUAGCCAGUCUGGCAUUAAGUUGUCGGGUUGGUGAAAACCAUCGUUUACUGUGAAAAAAUUAGAGUGUUCAAAGCAGACUUAUGUCGUUGAAUAGAUUAGCAUGGAAUAAUAAUAUAGGACUUUUGUACUAUUUUGUUGGUUAGGUGUAAAAGUAAUGAUCAAUAGGGACAGUUGGGCGUAUUCGUAUUUCGUUGCUAGAGGUGAAAUUCUUGGAUUUCCGAAAGACGAACUACUGCGAAAGCAUUUACGAAGGAUGUUUUCAUUAAUCAAGAACGAAAGUUAGGGGAUCGAAGAUGAUUAGAUACCAUCGUAGUCUUAACCAUAAACUAUGCCGACUCGGGAUUGGGCGUUGUUUUUUGACUCGUCCAGCACCGUAUGGGAAACCAUUAGUCUUUGGGUUCCGGGGGGAGUAUGGUCGCAAGACUGAAACUUAAAGAAAUUGACGGAAGGGCACCACCAGGAGUGGAGCCUGCGGCUUAAUUUGACUCAACACGGGAAAACUUACCAGGUCCAGACAUAAUGAGGAUUGACAGAUUGAGAGCUCUUUCUUGAUUUUAUGGGUGGUGGUGCAUGGCCGUUCUUAGUUGGUGGAGUGAUUUGUCU